GGCGCUUCCGCGUUCCUUCUGCGCCUGUGCGUUCUGCUCUCUGGCCGCCUUCUCCAAAGUUGGGCCAGUGUCGCGGGUCCUCUUGGCGCUCUGGUAGCAUCUCUGACAUGGAGGCACUGCUCUCCUUCAGGGAUGUGGCCAUUGAUUUCUCUGCAGAGGAGUGUGAAUGCCUGGACCUUGCUCAGUGGAAUCUGUACAGGGAUGUGAUGCUGGAGAAUUACAGCAACCUUGUAUUCCUGGGUCUAGCUUUUUCUAAGCCAUAUUUGGUGACAUUUCUCGAGCAAAGAAAAGAGCCAUGGAAUGUGAAGGGACCAGCCCCAGUUGCUGUACACCCAGAAAUAAAACCUUAUAAAUUUAAAGAAUGUGGCAAGACCUUUCCUUGGAAUUCACUUCUUAUCCAACACCAUAAAACUCACCCUGGAGAAAAGCUUUACAAAUGUGGUGAAUGUGGCAAGGCCUUUAAUGUUCGCUCAACACUUUAUAAACACCAGAGAAUUCAUACUGGAGAGAAACCCUACAAAUGCAAAGAAUGUGGCAAAGGUUUUACAUGUUCUUCAAGCCUUAACCAACACCACAGAAUUCAUACUGGAGAGAAACCCUACAAAUGUCAAUGUGGCAAAGCCUUUAAUAAUUCUUCAGCUCUCACUCAGCACCAAAGAAUUCAUACUGGAGAAAGACCAUACAAGUGUGAAGAAUGUGGCAAAGCCUUUAAUAAUUGCUCAGCCCGAACGCGACACCAAAGAAUUCAUACUGGAGAGAGACCCUACAGAUGUGCAGCUUGUGGCAAGACCUUCAAUUUUCCCACAUCACUUUCUCAACAUCAGAGAAUUCAUACUGGAGAGAAACCCUACAAAUGUGAAGAAUGUGGCAAAGCCUUUAACUGUUCUUCACAUCUUAAACAACACCGAAUUAUUCAUACUGGAAAGAAACCCUACAAAUGUAAAGAAUGUGACAAAGCUUUUAACUGUUCUUCAAGUCUUAACCAACACCGUAGAAUUCACACUGGUGAGAAACGCUACAUAUGUGAGGAAUGCGGCAAAGCCUUUAAUAAUUGUUCAGCUCUUACUCAACACCAAAGAAUCCAUAGUGGAGAGAAACCCUUCAAGUGUGAAGAAUGUGGCAAAGCCUUUUAUAAUUGCUCGGCCCUCUCUCGACACCACAAGAUUCACACUGGAGAAAAACCCUUCAAAUGUGCAGAUUGUGGCAAAGCUUUUAUUUUUCGUUCAUCACUUUCUCAGCACCAGAGAAUUCACACUGGAGAGAAACCCUACAAAUGCAAAGAAUGUGGGAAAGCCUUUAACUGUUCUUCACACCUUAACCAACAUGGAAGAAUUCACAGUGGAGAGAAACCUUAUAAAUGUGAAGAGUGUGGCCAGACGUUUAUCUGUUCAUCAUACCUACAUAAGCAUCAGAAGAUUCAUACUAUUGAGAAACUCUAUGAAUGCAAAGAAUGUGGUAAAACCUUUAGCUGUUCUUCAUACCUUAAAUAUCACCAGAGAUUUCAUACUGGGGGGAAAUCUUAUACAUGCAAAGAAUGUGACAAAACCUUUAGGUCCUCUUCAUACCUUAGGAAUCAUCAGAGAUUUCACACUGGAGAGAAACCCUACACAUGCAAAGACUGUGGCAAAGCCUUUGUUAAUUCUUCAAGCCUUCUUGUACACCAAAGAAUUCAUACUGGAGAGAAACCAUACAAGUGCAAAGAAUGUGGCAAGGCUUUUAGGUGUUCUUCUUAUUUUAAGUAUCACCAGAGACUUCAUACUGGAGAGAAACCCUAUACAUGCAAAGAAUGUGGCAAAGCCUUUGCUAAAUCUUCAUGUCUUAUUCUACACCAAAGAAUUCAUACCGGGGAAAAACCCUACAAAUGUGCGGAGUGUGGCCAGGCCUUUAUCUGUUCUUCAUACCUGAGGAAGCAUCAGCGAAUCCAUACUGGUGAGAAACCUUAUACAUGUGAAGAAUGUGGCAAAGCUUUUAGUAUUUACUCAACCUUCAUUCAACACCAGAGAAUUCAUACUGGAGAAAAACCUUACAAAUGCAAGGAAUGUGACAAAGCAUUUAAUAAUCAUUCAGCUCUUAUAAAGCAUCAAAGAAUUCAUACUGGAGAGAAGCCCUACACAUGUAAAGAAUGUAAUAAAGCCUUUAAUAAUAGCUCAAGCCUUAUUCGACAUCAACGAAUUCAUACUGGAAUUGAAACCCUAGAAGUUCAAGGAAUGUGGCAAGGCCUUUAAUAAUAGUUCAACUCUUAGCCCCCCAAACUCACAGUAGUAAGUAAAAUGGAAAAAAAGGUGACAAAUAAGUGUUUUAUACAUAUACAAGUGUAAAAAUUCACGCAUGAAAGAAACCCUACAAGUUUAAAUAGUGUUGCAAGUCUGUUAGCGCUUCUUCUUAUCUUGAUAGCAGAGGAUUUGUACUGGGGAGCCCUAAAAAUAUAUCAGGGAUUUUAAUGAACGUUCACUCCUCAUCACUGAAUUCAUGCUUCAUGGAAAUCUUAGCACUUACUGACUUUGGAAUGACCUCUGUCCAAUAUGUGUGAGCAAAAUAGUUAUGCCAGAACAAAUGAGGGGCAUGGAGUUCCAAAGAGAAGAGUGAAGACACAAGAAAGGGAAUAUGCUAAGAACAUCUAAGAGCCAAGGCUUUGCUGCCACUGGAAGACAGGUACCUGCUGAACUUCUAGAAAGCCAUUCUACUUAAGCAGGAACAAUGCUCCACCCAUGACCUCCUCAAUCCCCGAUACCUUUCUUCCCUCCCUCACCACCAUCACCACUACCACCCCCACCUACACACACACACACACACACACACACACACACACACACACACACACACUCGUGGUCUUGUUUAAAUUCUCAUGUUGUAAAUCAGCAAUCUGUAUUGUGUCAUUGCUAAUUAACACAACAAUGCCUAAUUAUUAGUACCCAGUAUAAAAAAAUUAAAUAUUAAGGGAAGCCCAAGUUCACAAGUACAGUAAAAUUUUAUGUUAAAUAUUUAUUGAAUAUUUACAUUGCAAUUACAGAAAUAUCAUCUAGGGGCAUUAUAACUAUGACACUUUUUUACUUUAUUAAGUACAGUCUGCCUGCAAUUCAAGGAAAUUACAUCUUAAACUGCCUUUCACUGUAGGGUAUUAUUAGCCACACUGUGGAAUGAUAUAAUUGAAGAGCUUUAUUCUGCUAUACCCAAGAUACAUAAUAUCAUAUCAAAGUAAGUAAAAUAGAACUUCAUUUUAGUAACCACUCUUGUCACAAAGCACCUUUCUGUGGUUCAUGUUGCUUUGGACUGGAGUUUGUAACCAAACAGAAGACCACCCCUUUUCCCAAAGCAAUCUCUCCCCAACACCACGUAUUUGCAUUUAUGUACCAAAACUAUUGUUAAUCCAAACAAGAUAGCAGCAAAUGGGUUGUAUUGACUGUCAAGCACUUAUACCUAGUUGACCAGUAAAGUGGAAUAGCUUUUUGUCCUCUAGUCAUUAUCUUCCUUCCUUGACCUGCCAUUGUCCCACAUGACCUCCACAUGUGCACCAGAGAGCAUAACUGCACUGACAUACACUAAUGCGCGCACACACACACACACACACACACACACACACACACACACACACACAUGCACCACAGACACUUCAAAAAAGAAAAAAAAAUGUGAGCUGAGUGCCAGCACUUUGAUUAAAUAAAUAUUUUCAUCUAUAUGGUCUUAUUCAAACUGUUUUAUUUGUCAUUUCCCUCCAUGAUGUCUAUUAGUGAAUUUUUAUGGUCCGCUCCCUUUGGGGGAGAUUAGUAAAAGCUUUACCCAGAAGACAGCCUAUUUGUAGGAUGUGUCCUUAAGAAGGAAAUCUGUGCUGCCCAAGCAAACAAUUUUAGGUAAGGAAGCCCCUGGCAAGAGCUCAUGACACAUCUCUGCAUGUACCAUUCAUUAUAUUGUUUGGUAUUACUGUCAUCAAAUGUGAAUAAGCCAUGCAUCAUGACACUUAUUUUACAAGGUACUCAGAAAAGGAGAUCACACUUUAUAGACUUCCUGGCUCUUGUGGUUUAUUGGGUCAUUUUGUUUACAGUGAUAUAUGUUUAUAAUAACAACCCUAAUAAUUUAAAUUUUCACUGUAGACUUCAGUUUUCAACUUAAGCAGGUGAAAGGCAAUUAAUGUUACUGUAAGAAGUUCCAAGAAAAUUAAUGUUACUAUAAGAAGUUCCUGAGACAAUCAAUUAGAAAAAAAGUGGGUAGAUAGCUGGCAAUUUCAGAAUUUCCAGUUUAUGUUCAGCUGGUCCCAUUGCUUUGUACCUUUGGGGAGGUACCCUACUAUGGUGGGAAUGGAUAUCAUUGAAACUACUUACCACAUGGCCAUGGAGGAGAGAUGGUUCAGUUUACCUAUAUGCUUUAAGGAUAUAGUCUCCCAAACCUAGAGCUCCCUCUGUGUCAAUGCUCCACCCACUACCUCCUCAAACUCCUCAAACUAUAAACUCAAACUAAGGCUUUCAUAAUCUCACAAUAUUGCCAUGGUGAAGCCCAGGCCUUUAUUACACAGAUGUUCACUGGGACUGUGAUCCAAGGUAUAGAAAUCACAUACUAAUAAGCAGAAAGAAACUGGGCAAAAUGUAAAUCAGUGCCUUCCUAUAAUUAUUAGGAGACUGAACACAUGGGACAAAACACAUUGAACUUAGAGGAAGACAUUUCCAGGGUCUAAUAGGAGCUGAGCACUUGCCUCCUGGGAAGUUGCUAUCAUAUAUCAUACAAGUGGGGCUCAAGAUUCAGCCACAACAUAUUUGAUUACAAUCUCCCUAUCACUCUCCAACCCAUUCACUCUCUCUGUUCUACUCUCCAUAUCUUGAGUCCACAUCUAAGUGACAUCAUGUAGUAUUUUAUCUUUUUUUGUGUCAAAGACACAAAAGGUGAGGGGCGUGGUUUUCAUUCUCUAGGUUCACCCAUAGGUUUUAUGAUUUUUCCUGAAGAAAAUGCAAACAAAUAUCUAUUCACCACAGAAAGGGCACUAAUGGCCAAAGAAAAGAUUCCAUCAAAGCCACAUGUGUUGAGUCAGUGGAUUUGUGGGGCUACUUAUAGAAGCACGACUGACUUGAAGGCAGCCACAUCACUGAGAAGCCCAGCCUAGCAUGGGUAACAAAACCCUGGUACCCUCUGCCCAGCUUGCCAGCAACCUCCUCAGAGAUUUCGGUCACCCAACAACUAUUCAGUGCCUUUGUCACCGCGGGGCCUCUGUGAAAUUCAUAACUUUAGGAGCUUUCUGAGUCACCUGAACUUCACUUCCUAAGAACUGUGAACUUCCACCCUCUCUCCAGGAGAGAGUGUUUCAAUUCACUUCAGAUGAAAUAGUGACAACGCAAGGUAACAGCUGUGUUCCCUCUUUCUUUCUUUCUUUCUUUCUUUCUUUCUUUCUUUCUUUCUUUCUUUCUUUCUUUCUUU